UACGUAGGGGGCAAGCGUUGUCCGGAUUUAUUGGGCGUAAAGAGCUCGUAGGUGGUUUGUCGCGUUGUCCGUGAAAACUCACAACUCAAUUGUGGGCGUGCGGGCGAUACGGGCAGACUGGAGUACUGCAGGGGAGACUGGAAUUCCUGGUGUAGCGGUGGAAUGCGCAGAUAUCAGGAGGAACACCGGUGGCGAAGGCGGGUCUCUGGGCAGUAACUGACGCUGAGGAGCGAAAGCGUGGGGAGCGAACAGG
rnacentral:rRNA from 1 species